GCUUAACACAUGCAAGUCGAGGGGUAACAGAGGAGCUAGCUUCUGCUGACGACCGGCGCACGGGUGCGUAACGCGUAUACAAUCUGCCUUGCACUAAGGGAUAGCCCAAAGAAAUUUGGAUUAAUACCUUAUGGUUUAUUAAGAUGGCAUCAUUUUAAUAAUAAAGAUUACGGUGUAAGAUGAGUAUGCGUACCAUUAGUUUGUUGGUGAGGUAACGGCUUACCAAGACUACGAUGGUUAGGGGCCCUGAGAGGGGGAUCCCCCACACUGGUACUGAGACACGGACCANACUCCUACGGGAGGCAGCAGUGAGGAAUAUUGGACAAUGGAGGAGACUCUGAUCCANCCAUGCCGCGUGCAGGAAGACGGUCCUAUGGAUUGUAAACUGCUUUUAUACAGGAAGAAUAAGGACUACNUGUAGUCUGGUGACGGUACUGUAAGAAUAANGACCGGCUAACUCCGUGCCAGCAGCCGCGGUAAUACGGAGGGUCCGAGCGUUAUCCGGAAUUAUUGGGUUUAAAGGGUCCGUAGGCGGGCCAUUAAGUCAGGGGUGAAAGUUUGCAGCUCAACUGUAGAAUUGCCUUUGAUACUG
rnacentral:rRNA from 1 species